rnacentral:rRNA from 1 species
UAGAGUUUGAUCCUGGCUCAGAUUGACCGCUGGCGGAAUGCUUUACACAUGCAAGUCGAGCGGCAGCGCGGGGGCAACCCUGGCGGCGAGCGGCGAACGGGUGAGUAAUGUAUCGGAACGUACCCAGUCGUGGGGGAUAACUAUCCGAAAGGAUAGCUAAUACCGCAUACGACCUGAGGGUGAAAGCGGGGGACCGUAAGGCCUCGCGCGAUUGGAGCGGCCGAUAUCGGAUUAGCUAGUUGGUGAGGUAAAGGCUCACCAAGGCGACGAUCCGUAGCUGGUCUGAGAGGACGACCAGCCACACUGGAACUGAGACACGGUCCAGACUCCUACAGGAGGCAGCAGUGGGGAAUUUUGGACAAUGGGGGCAACCCUGAUCCAGCCAUUCCGCGUGAGUGAAGAAGGCCUUCGGGUUGUAAAGCUCUUUCAGCAGGAACGAAACGGCUCUCUCUAACAUAGGGAGUUAAUGACGGUACCUGAAGAAGAAGCACCGGCUAACUACGUGCCAGCAGCCGCGGUAAUA